GACGAACGCUGGCGGCGUGCUUAACACAUGCAAGUCGAACGGAAAGGCCCUGCUUUUGUGGGGUGCUCGAGUGGCGAACGGGUGAGUAACACGUGAGUAACCUGCCCUUGACUUUGGGAUAACUUCAGGAAACUGGGGCUAAUACCGGAUAGGAGCUCCUGCUGCAUGGUGGGGGUUGGAAAGUUUCGGCGGUUGGGGAUGGACUCGCGGCUUAUCAGCUUGUUGGUGGGGUAGUGGCUUACCAAGGCUUUGACGGGUAGCCGGCCUGAGAGGGUGACCGGCAACAUUGGGACUGAGAUACGGCCCAGACUCCUACGGGAGGCAGCAGUGGGGAAUAUUGCACAAUGGGCGGAAGCCUGAUGCAGCAACGCCGCGUGCGGGAUGACGGGCUUCGGGUUGUAAACCGCUUUCGCCUGUGACGAAGCGUGAGUGACGGUAAUGGGUAAAGAAGCACCGGCUAACUACGUG
rnacentral:rRNA from 1 species